GACGAACGCUGGCGGCGUGCUUAACACAUGCAAGUCGAACGGAGAGGCGCUGCUAUUGUGGGGUGCUCGAGUGGCGAAAGGGUGAGUAACACGUGAGUAACCUGCCCUUGACUAUGGUAUAACUUCAGGAAACUGAGGCUAAUAACGGAUAGGCGCACAUGCUGCAUGGAGGGGGUGGGACAGUGUAGGCGGUUGGGGAUGGAAUCGCGUCGUAUCAGCUUGUUGGUGGGGUAGGGGCUUACCCAGGCAUUGACGGGUAGCCGGGCUGAGAGGGUGACCGGACACGUUGCGAUGGGGAUGAGGCCCGGACCACACCCGGACGCAGGAGUGGAGUGGAGUGCACUAUGGGCGGAAGCGAAAUCCGGUAACGCCGCGUGGGGGGAGACAGCCUUCGUGUUGGAAAGCGCAUUCGCAUCUGACGAAGAGUGAGUGACGGUAACGGGUAAAGAAGCCCCGGCUAACUACGUG
rnacentral:rRNA from 1 species